AACGAACGCUGGCGGCAUGCCUAACACAUGCGAGUCGAACGAAUUUAGGGGCUUCGGCCCCAACAGUUAGUGGCGGACGGGUGAGUAACGCGUAGGAACCUACCAGGCAGUGGGGAAUAACAGCUGGAAACGGCUGCUAAUACCGCAUACGUCCCUUCGGGGAGAAAGAUUUAUCGCUGUUUGAGGGUCCUGCGUUCGAUUAGCUAGUUGGUGUGGUAACGGCGCACCAAGGCUACGAUCGAUAGCUGGUCUGAGAGGAUGAUCAGCCACACUGGGACUGAGACACGGCCCAG
rnacentral:rRNA from 1 species